AGUUAAUUAAUUUAAUUAAAAUAUUUAUUUUGAAAAUAAAAAAUAGAAAUAUUUCUAUUAACUUA
rnacentral:tRNA from 1 species